CUUGACAUCCCGAUCGCACUCUCUGGAAACAGGGAGGUCAGUUCGGCUGGAUCGGUGACAGGUGCUGCAUGGCUGUCGUCAGCUCGUGUCGUGAGAUGUUGGGUUAAGUCCCGCAACGAGCGCAACCCUCGUCCUUAGUUGCCAGCAUUCGAGUUGGGCACUCUAAGGAGACUGCCGGUGUUAAACCGGAGGAAGGCGGGGAUGACGUCAAGUCCUCAUGGCCCUUAUGUCCAGGGCUACACACGUGCUACAAUGGCCGGUACAAAGGGUAGCAAGACCGCGAGGUGGAGCCAAUCCCAAAAAAGCCGGUCUCAGUUCGGAUUGGAGUCUGCAACUCGACUCCAUGAAGUUGGAAUCGCUAGUAAUCGUGGAUCAGCAUGCCACGGUGAAUACGUUCCCGGGCCUU
rnacentral:rRNA from 1 species